rnacentral:rRNA from 1 species
GCCUUGAAAUACCACCCUUUAAUGUUUGAUGUUCUAACGUGGACCCGUGAUCCGGGUUGCGGACAGUGUCUGGUGGGUAGUUUGACUGGGGCGGUCUCCUCCUAAAGAGUAACGGAGGAGCACGAAGGUUGGCUAAUCCUGGUCGGACAUCAGGAGGUUAGUGCAAUGGCAUAAGCCAGCUUGACUGCGAGCGUGACGGCGCGAGCAGGUGCGAAAGCAGGUCAUAGUGAUCCGGUGGUUCUGAAUGGAAGGGCCAUCGCUCAACGGAUAAAAGGUACUCCGGGGAUAACAGGCUGAUACCGCCCAAGAGUUCAUAUCGACGGCGGUGUUUGGCACCUCGAUGUCGGCUCAUCACAUCCUGGGGCUGAAGUAGGUCCCAAGGGUAUGGCUGUUCGCCAUUUAAAGUGGUACGCGAGCUGGGUUUAGAACGUCGUGAGACAGUUCGGUCCCUAUCUGCCGUGGGCGCUGGAGAACUGAGGGGGGCUGCUCCUAGUACGAGAGGACCGGAGUGGACGCAUCACUGGUGUUCGGGUUGUCAUGCCAAUGGCACUGCCCGGUAGCUAAAUGCGGAAGAGAUAAGUGCUGAAAGCAUCUAAGCACGAAACUUGCCCCGA